UCAUAAUCAGUGAAAACGAGUAGGGCGGGACACGUGAUAUCCUGUCUGAAUAUGGGGGGACCAUCCUCCAAGGCUAAAUACUACUGACUGACCGAUAGUGAACCAGUACCGUGAGGGAAAGGCGAAAAGAACCCCUGUGAGGGGAGUGAAAUAGAACCUGAAACCGUGUACGUACAAGCAGUAGGAGCACCUUCGUGGUGUGACUGCGUACCUUUUGUAUAAUGGGUCAGCGACUUAAUUUUAGUAGCAAGGUUAACCGUUUAGGGGAGCCGUAGGGAAACCGAGUCUUAACUGGGCGUACAGUUGCUAGGAUUAGACCCGAAACCAGGUGAUCUAGCCAUGGGCAGGUUGAAGGUUGAGUAACAUCAACUGGAGGACCGAACCGACUAAUGUUGAAAAAUUAGCGGAUGACUUGUGGCUAGGGGUGAAAGGCCAAUCAAACCUGGAGAUAGCUGGUUCUCCCCGAAAGCUAUUUAGGUAGCGCCUCGGACGAAUACUACUGGGGGUAGAGCACUGUUAAGGCUAGGGGGUCAUCCCGACUUACCAACCCUUUGCAAACUCCGAAUACCAGUAAGUACUAUCCGGGAGACACACGGCGGGUGCUAACGUCCGUCGUGGAGAGGGAAACAACCCAGACCGCCAGCUAAGGUCCCAAAGUAUAGCUAAGUGGGAAACGAUGUGGGAAGGCUCAGACAGCCAGGAUGUUGGCUUAGAAGCAGCCAUCAUUUAAAGAAAGCGUAAUAGCUCACUGGUCGAGUCGGCCUGCGCGGAAGAUGUAACGGGGCUAAGCUAUACACCGAAGCUGCGGCUACGUACCUUAGGGUAUGUGGGGUAGGGGAGCGUUCUGUAAGCCGUUGAAGGUGGUCUGUAAGGGCUGCUGGAGGUAUCAGAAGUGCGAAUGCUGACAUGAGUAACGAUAAAGGGAGUGAAAAACUCCCUCGCCGGAAGACCAAGGGUUCCUGUCCAACGUUAAUCGGGGCAGGGUAAGUCGACUCCUAAGGCGAGGCCGAAAGGCGUAGUCGAUGGGAAACAGGUUAAUAUUCCUGUACUUCUUACAAUUGCGAUGGGGGGACGGAGAAGGCUAGGUGGGCCUGGCGACGGUUGUCCAGGUUCAAGUAUGUAGGCGG
rnacentral:rRNA from 1 species